rnacentral:rRNA from 1 species
UACGUAGGCGGCAAGCGUUAUCCGGAUUUAUUGGGCGUAAAGCGAGCGCAGGCGGUUGCUUAGGUCUGAUGUGAAAGCCUUCGGCUUAACCGAAGAAGUGCAUCGGAAACCGGGCAACUUGAGUGCAGAAGAGGACAGUGGAACUCCAUGUGUAGCGGUGGAAUGCGUAGAUAUAUGGAAGAACACCAGUAGCGAAGGCGGCUGUCUGGUCUGCGACUGACGCUGAAGCACGAGAGCGUGGGUAGCGAACAGG